CAGAGGAUAGUUUAUAAAAAAUAUUAACUUUGGGAGUUAAUGACGGAAGAAAAUUUCUUCUCUGAC
rnacentral:tRNA from 1 species